GACGAACGCUGGCGGCGUGCUUAACACAUGCAAGUCGAACGGAAAGGCCCUGCUUUUGUGGGGUGCUCGAGUGGCGAACGGGUGAGUAACACAUGAGUAACCUGCCCUUGACUUUGGGAUAACUUCAGGAAACUGGGGCUAAUACCGGAUAGGAGCUCCUGCUGCAUGGUGGGGGUUGGAAAGUUUCGGCGGUUGGGGAUGGACUCGCGGCUUAUCAGCUUGUUGGUGGGGUAGUGGCUUACCAAGGCUUUGACGGGUAGCCGGCCUGAGAGGGUUACCGGCCACAUUGGGACUGAGAUAGGGCCCAGACUCCUACGGGAGGCAGCAGUGGGGAAUAUUGCACAAUGGGCGGAAGCCUGAUGCAGCAACGCCGCGUGCGGGAUGACGGCCUUCGGGUUGUAAACCGCUUUCGCCUGUGACGAAGCGUGAGUGACGGUAAUGGGUAAAGAAGCACCGGCUAACUACGUG
rnacentral:rRNA from 1 species